AGCACCACAACAGGUGGAGCCUGCGGUUUAAUCGGACUCAACGCCGGGAAAACUCACCAGAUAAGACAGCUGAAUGAUAGUCGGGCUGAAGACUCUACUUGACUAGCUGAGAGGAGGUGCAUGGCCGUCGUCAGUUCGUACUGUGAAGCAUCCUGUUAAGUCAGGCAACGAGCGAGACCCACGCCAACAGUUGCCAGCUCGUCCUCCGGGAUGGAGGGGACACUGUUGGGACCGCCUCUGCUAAAGAGGAGGAAGGAAUGGGCAACGGUAGGUCAGCAUGCCCCGAAUUAUCUGGGCUACACGCGGGCUACAAUGGGUGGGACAAUGGGUAUCGACACCGAAAGGUGAAGGCAAUCUCCUAAACCCAUCCUUAGUUCGGAUUGUGGGCUGCAACUCGCCCACAUGAAGCUGGAAUCUGUAGUAAUCGUGUUUCAAAAUAGCACGGUGAAUAUGUCCCUGCUCCUU
rnacentral:rRNA from 1 species